AACGAACGCUGGCGGCAUGCCUAACACAUGCAAGUCGAACGAGACCUUCGGGUCUAGUGGCGCACGGGUGCGUAACGCGUGGGAACCUGCCCUUAGGUUCGGAAUAACUCCCCGAGAGGGGUGCUAAUACCGGAUAAUGUCUUCGGACCAAAGAUUUAUCGCCUUUGGAUGGGCCCGCGUUGGAUUAGCUAGUUGGUAGGGUAAAAGCCUACCAAGGCGACGAUCCAUAGCUGGUCUGAGAGGAUGAUCAGCCACACUGGGACUGAGACACGGCCCAGAAUCCUACGGGAGGCAGCAGUGGGGAAUAUUGGACAAUGGGCGAAAGCCUGAUCCAGCAAUGCCGCGUGAGUGAUGAAGGCCUUAGGGUUGUAAAGCUCUUUUACCCGGGAUGAUAAUGACAGUACCGGGAGAAUAAGCUCCGGCUAACUCCGUG
rnacentral:rRNA from 1 species